UCAUGCCUACCCGUAGAUCCGAACUUGUGUUCACUCAUUCUCACAAGUUUGAUUUUACGGGCUGGUGUGGG
rfam:Stegodyphus mimosarum contig110332, whole genome shotgun sequence.